rnacentral:rRNA from 1 species
CCUACGGGGGGCAGCAGUGAGGAAUAUUGGUCAAUGGGCGCGAGCCUGAACCAGCCAAGUCGCGUGAGGGAAGACGGUCCUAUGGAUUGUAAACCUCUUUUACCGGGGAGCAAAUCGCGCCACGCGUGGCGCGUGAGAGAGUACCCGGGGAAAAAGCAUCGGCUAACUCCGUGCCAGCAGCCGCGGUAAUACGGAGGAUGCGAGCGUUAUCCGGAUUAAUUGGGUUUAAAGGGUGCGUAGGCGGGGCGACAAGUCGGCGGUCAAAUGUCGGGGCUCAACCCCCGCCUGCCGU